GUAGGGAAUAUUGGACAAUGGGGGCAACCCUGAUCCAGCGACGCCGCGUGAGUGAUGAAGGCCUUCGGGUCGUAAAGCUCUGUUGCAGGGGAAGAACACAAUGACGGUACCCUGCUAGAAAGGAUCGGCUAACUUCGUGCCAGCAGCCGCGGUAAGACGAGGGAUCCUAGCGUUGUUCGGAAUUAUUGGGCGUAAAGCGGGUGCAGGUGGCUUGGUAAGUCAGAUGUGAAAGCCUGGGGCUUAACCCCAGAAGUGCAUUUGAUACUGCUGAGCUUGAGUGCUGGAGAGGCUAUUAGAAUUCCUGGUGUAGUGGUGAAAUACGUAGAUAUCAGGAGGAAUACCGGAGGCGAAGGCGGAUAGCUGGCCAGACACUGACACUCAGACCCGAAAGCGUGGGGAGUAAACAGGAUUAGAAACCCUUGUAGUCC
rnacentral:rRNA from 1 species